UUAUAAAAAUGGAACCAUUAGCAUGUAGCUUUUUAGGAUUGGCCUUUUUUUUUCACUGAGCACAAGUCUCUGAAGACUCAUUCAGGUUGUUGUGCAUAUCAAUAGUGUAUCCCUUUUUAUUGCUGAGCAGUAUUCUAUGGUAUGAAUGUAUGAUGGUUCGGACAUAUGGGUUGUUUCCUAUUUUAGGCUGUUAUAGAUUACCCACAGUUGGCUUGAGAGUUUUACGCCACAGUUUGGUAGAAAAAAGACCACUCAGCUGGAGGUCAGAGGCUUGGGUGGAUGAAUGAAUGAACGAAUGAAAUUCUUUGCAUUUUUAUUCGGUUAGAGAGAUUUUUUGAAAGGCAUAUAUGUGGGAUUAUUUGUGCCAUCAUCUGCUAAUUUCACAGAUGUCUUCUCAACUGUAGACCUUCAUAUAAGGGAAAGACCUAUUUACGCAUAGUUGAGUUGCAGCUGCUGCUGCCCUGGCCUGAUGGCACAGUGGUGAGGGCUGUCUCAAUAUCUGUCCCAUGUCUCUUUCAUAGAAUAAUACCCUCCCUCAGCCCCUUUUCCCUGUAUCUUCCUUUCA
rnacentral:lncRNA from 10 species